UUGAAUUUUAAUGAAGAGUUUGGUUGUAGCUGGCCCAUUCAUUUGGGCAUGUACACACCUUCCUCUUUCAUCCCACACACACCUGUGAACCUGUGAGACAGAGAUGGGGAAUUUACUUGCUGCUUUUUGGAAUACAAAGGCAAUAGGUUAUUGGACCCCCCCUCUGUCUACUCAAUUAAUAUAAACUCAAUUUAUUUUAAAACGAAUGUAAUGGAUGUAACACAUCUCAUAC
rnacentral:misc_RNA from 1 species